ACUUCCCCUAGAGGUGUUGCAGGUAUGGCCACUGUGUAUCUUGUAUGCAAGUAAGUGGCAAGGAAGAGAGAAGCUAUAUCUAGGCUUAUUGGUUCUGACCUAUGAACAUCUGAACAAUUAGUAGCCCAACAUU